GUGCUCGCUUCGGCAGCACAUAUACUAAAAUUGGAACGAUACAGAGAAGAUUAGCAUGGCCCCUGCGCAAGGAAGUACAUACUAGCCUUCAGUGUGACAUUACUAU